UGCAAGUCGAGCGGUAACAGGGGUAGCUUGCUACCCGCUGACGAGCGGCGGACGGGUGAGUAAUGCAUAGGAAUCUGCCCGAUAGUGGGGGAUAACCUGGGGAAACCCAGGCUAAUACCGCAUACGUCCUACGGGAGAAAGGGGGCUCCGGCUCCCGCUAUUGGAUGAGCCUAUGUCGGAUUAGCUAGUUGGUGAGGUAAAGGCUCACCAAGGCGACGAUCCGUAGCUGGUCUGAGAGGAUGAUCAGCCACAUCGGGACUGAGACACGGCCCGAACUCCUACGGGAGGCAGCAGUGGGGAAUAUUGGACAAUGGGCGAAAGCCUGAUCCAGCCAUGCCGCGUGUGUGAAGAAGGCCCUCGGGUUGUAAAGCACUUUCAGCGAGGAAGAACGCCUAGUGGUUAAUACCCAUUAGGAAAGACAUCACUCGCAGAAGAAGCACCGGCUAACUCCGUGCCAGCAGCCGCGGUAAUACGGAGGGUGCAAGCGUUAAUCGGAAUUACUGGGCGUAAAGCGCGCGUAGGUGGCUUGAUAAGCCGGUUGUGAAAGCCCCGGGCUCAACCUGGGAACGGCAUCCGGAACUGUCAAGCUAGAGUGCAGGAGAGGAAGGUAGAAUUCCCGGUGUAGCGGUGAAAUGCGUAGAGAUCGGGAGGAAUACCAGUGGCGAAGGCGGCCUUCUGGACUGACACUGACACUGAGGUGCGAAAGCGUGGGUAGCAAACAGGAUUAGAUACCCUGGUAGUCCACGCCGUAAACGAUGUCGACCAGCCGUUGGGUGCCUAGCGCACUUUGUGGCGAAGUUAACGCGAUAAGUCGACCGCCUGGGGAGUACGGCCGCAAGGUUAAAACUCAAAUGAAUUGACGGGGGCCCGCACAAGCGGUGGAGCAUGUGGUUUAAUUCGAUGCAACGCGAAGAACCUUACCUACUC
rnacentral:rRNA from 1 species